rnacentral:rRNA from 1 species
GGCCGGUCCGCCUCACCGCGAGUACUGGUCCGGCUGGACCUUUCCUUCUGGGGAAUCCCAUGGCCUUCACUGGCUGUGGGGGGAACCAGGACUUUUACUGUGAAAAAAUUAGAGUGUUCAAAGCAGGCCUUUGCUCGAAUACAUUAGCAUGGAAUAAUAGAAUAGGACGUGCGGUUCUAUUUUGUUGGUUUCUAGGACCGCCGUAAUGAUUAAUAGGGAUAGUCGGGGGCGUCAGUAUUCAGCUGUCAGAGGUGAAAUUCUUGGAUUUGCUGAAGACUAACUACUGCGAAAGCAUUCGCCAAGGAUGUUUUCAUUAAUCAGGGAACGAAAGUUAGGGGAUCGAAGACGAUCAGAUACCGUCGUAGUCUUAACCAUAAACUAUGCCGACUAGGGAUCGGGCGGUGUUUCUAUGAUGACCCGCUCGGCACCUUACGAGAAAUCAAAGUUUUUGGGUUCUGGGGGGAGUAUGGUCGCAAGGCUGAAACUUAAAGAAAUUGACGGAAGGGCACCACAAGGCGUGGAGCCUGCGGCUUAAUUUGA